rnacentral:lncRNA from 1 species
AACAAGGUCAUUACUUCCCCAGAAAAAACAAGGCUGAGGGCAGGCUAUGCUCUCACUCUGUUGAUCCAGGGCAGCCUGGAUUAACGCUCCUGGGAUGUUUAAAAGGGAAGAAGAAAAGGCAGAGGACAGCCUGCAAAAUGUGUUUCUGUGCAUGCUUCCCCUAUGUCAUCAGUUUUUCUUAAGAGACAUUAAUUACAAAGAAGUCCCUUUCAAUAGGUUCUGUCACCUCCCAGACUAUUCUGUGAAGUUAAUAAAAUUAAACUGGUUCCCAGCAAAAUGAACUAAAGGCUCUCGCAGCCUUUGUCAGCAGGUCCACAUUUGAUGUUCAAAACAUCUGUCAAGGAGCAGCGGGAGAGUCUCCUGUUUCUUCAGCAACCCAAGAGCUG